rnacentral:rRNA from 1 species
UACGUAGGGGGCUAGCGUUGUCCGGAUUUAUUGGGCGUAAAGAGCGUGUAGGCGGCCAGGUAGGUCUGGUGUGAAAACUCGAGGCCUUAACCUCGAGAUGUCAUCGGAAACCAUUUGGCUAGAGUCCGGAAGAGGAGAGUGGAAUUCCUGGUGUAGCGGUGAAAUGCGCAGAUAUCAGGAGGAACACCAAUGGCGAAAGGCAGAUC